GCUUACGGAUAAUUCCACCCUGAGCGCGCCCGAUCUCGUCUGAUCUCGGAAGCUAAGCAGGGUCGGGCCUGGUUAGUACUUGGAUGGGAGACCGCCUGGGAAUACCAGGUGCUGUAAGCU
ensembl:rRNA 5S_rRNA 5S ribosomal RNA